GGGACUUUCCGUACCUCACCCUGGAGAUCAAGGAGCAAAGCUGCCCAUGUGAGGGAGUGAGGAAAAGGAACACCAAGGAGCAAAGCCCUGAAGCGGCAAAGAGUUUCCAGAACAAUCUGUGAAUUCUCAAAGAACCAGGAUGUCUUCAGCUGAUGUACUCUUCCCCUUGAGUGUCACAGCAUCAGGGAACCACUGAGGCCUCAGCUGUGACCAGACGCAAAAUGGAGUUGUUUCCACACGCCAUAGUCGGCUCUCGGGCAAGGAAACACUGGGCCUUAGACAGUGCCCCUCUGCCCUGACACCCUGCCCUGGGGCCAGCCGACUAUGGACUGAAAGCCCUACAAACGAAACCGACAUCGCAAGAGGAUGGAUUGCCCAAAAUCACAUGGAUGCUGAGAUCCCGUAUUGGGGCCCGUUGCCUCUUGCUCCCUGAACUGUAGUUCCCCUGAAACUUAGCACCAGUUGGGCAACAGCGGGUACUGGCACCUGCCCUGCGGACUGGGCCCUGAACGACCACGAGCACGCGUCGGCGCAGACCUCGGACCCGGACCCGGACCGCGCGCGCCCCCUCGCGGGCGGCGUGGAGACGACACCAGACGCUUCCUUCACUCCGGGAAAGAGACUGGGGAGUUAGCGUCGGAAGGGAGAGGUAGUAACCUUUUCUUACUACUGGUGUGUGCCAAGCCGAGUGCCAGGCACUGAGGGAGCCUGAAAUCCUGAUUAGACCAUGGAGAAGCCUGCCCCAGUGAAUGAGAUGGUCGACGUUUCCCAUUCACCCUUUGGUCACCUGUGCGGCUGGGCUCACUGCAGUCUGAGGAGACCAUGGUCCUUGGAGGCCAUGUGGGGGCCUGACCUCUUCCUUUUAGCUCAGCUUCUAGGACAGCCAACCCCAUCCCAAAAAUAUUCCGAGGAAUCCAGAUAAAAAGAGAUGAAAGGAAGAGGAUCAAUAGCAAAGACCAGGUUGAGAAAGAUGUUCCUAAACUCAGAUUUAUUGUCUUAAUUUCCUGACCAGGUUUGACUCUUGGGUGUGUAUGGUUCCCUUCCACCUCCACACAUGCUUAGGCUCUCUAGGGCCUCUGAGUCCCACCUCCUGAGAGCUGUGGUUUGAACCAUGUUCUAGGCUGGACAAGCGUGGUUUUCCGUGUGUCCUCCCUACUCCUGUAGAAAAGCUGUCGAGGUCCUGCAGCAAGUUUUCAGCAGCUGUCAGCAGGCUCGGUCCACAGCGAGCUGGGAGGAGAGGGGUUCAUCCUUGGGAGGAUGUGGGGACAUGAAGGGAGCAGGAGUGUGGCUCUGCCUGCCCUGACUCCACCUCACACAGUUCUUACUCACAUGCCCUCCUUAAGUUUCUCCCUCUCUCCUAGAUCCAGAUACUGCUCUUUCCUGGCAUUCACCUUGCCAACAAAUCGGGAACUGAAAAUGACAGUAUGUACCUGGGCACGUGGUCUGCCUCAUUAACCAGAGAAGCAGCUAAGAGGGCAGUGAGAUAUUGAGCUUCUGGCAAUUUCAAAUGUGCAUCAUUCAGUGGUUCCACACACAGGGUAAGGAGCCUGUAGCCUGAGACAGUAUAGGGGGGUUUCCUCGGUCUUUCUCCAACAUCCAUUCGGCCCUGGCCAUUUCUCAGCCUGGAGCACCCUGGACCUCUGAGGACCUCUCCUGGAGGUGGAGGAUUCAGAAUGAGCCCGAGAGGUAGGGCCAGUGUGUCUGCUUGCAGGGUUGUGGGCAGAGCACUGAACCAACAGGCCUGAGGUCCAUUCGGAGACAGACUCCCGGGUGCUGGCUUCUGUGGACCUGGCUCUUCUGCAGGAGCAGUUGGUGUGUCGCCCACCCUCCCUGAGUCUGUCCGAAUUUCUGAAUACCCCAGCAGUGAGGUGGAAUACAGAACAUUUCUACCUGGCAGUGCACCUGAGCCUUGUAGUGGAUGGUAUUGUGGGGAGCCCCACCCCAUUCCCCUAUCUCUGGCAGUAAUGCUGGUUUCCAGGUGCAUCCACCCUCUGAGGUCAGACCAGGCUGGCUCUGCUCCCCAGUGGCCGGAGGAGCCAAACCCCAAGACUUCUGCCCGAAUUACCGAGUCCUUUUUCUCUAUAAGGAGAAAGCUGGGGCCACCUGGCCUCUCUGGAGGGCUUAAGUACAAAGAUGUAGGAGCUUGUGUGGAGCCAGCCGGGAAAGAGCUGGAAUCCUGUGCUAGCAGCAGUGUGGCUCAGGCCUGGGGACAAGAAGAGGUGAGUCUGGGUCUGGCAAGGAGUUAUGCAGAGGAGGCUGCUUUCUUGGAGGACAGAGGUGAUGUUUUGUAGACAGCUAAGUCAGUUAGCUAUCUUGUAGGCGGUUAACAGGGCCGGACCUGGAGGAGUCAAUACAGAUGACAAGUGAGACACAUUCACUGAAGGUCAGCAUUAUAAAAAGGAAAAAGUAUUACACCCACAUUGUUCCCCUGGAGAAGAACAGCAGCGAUUGAUAUACUUACUAUAUAGGCAUCAAUCCCCUUGGGUGGGGAUGAAACCUCCAUAGCCCAUUCCUUCUGGGAAAUCCUUGUUUGUUCCUUCUGUGCUUGCUAUGUGACUGGCUUCCCCAUUUGAUCCCCAUUAACCAAUAUUACUUAAGUGACUAUACUUGUAAUCUUAUUGGCUGACCGUGGUUUUGUCCCACCUUGUACUUGCCUCAUCUCAUGGCUUUGCUAAAUAAAAACACUUUUGAGAAGUGGGGGGGGGGGUGUGAGCAACCCACUUUCUGGUCCCCCUUCUGUUUCUCAGAAGCUAUCUUUCUCUCAAUAAAUUCUUCCUACUCUUAACCUCUGUUGUUCUUUGAAUUCUUCCAUUUUAGAGAACACGAACUCAGCGUUUCAGAUAUCUAGCAGGUUAGUAGGAAUUAUAAUAGUUUCCUUAUUUGGAUUACUUCAUGCCCUACAUCAAUGGUUUCCAAGGCUUGCUGAGACAAAACUAUGGCAGAUAGCUAAGUUAGUUAGAAAUUGUUUCUUUUUUUUUUUUUUUGGUACUGGGGAUUGAACUUGGGACCUUGUGCUUGCAAGGCAGGCGGCAGAACCACUGAGCUAAAUCCUCAGCCCCAAGAAAUUCUUUUAAGG
ensembl:lncRNA